AAAAAGUGAAUGCAAAAGUGCAUAAAUAUUUAUUUUACGUGUUUGAUAUGUGUGGCGGGCGUGGUCUGCAGUGCCGCUGCAGGGGAGGUGGACCCACCUGAGCGGCAUCUGCAAUCACGCCUCUCGGGCGUUGUCUGUGCUCUCUCGGCUGUUUUUGGGUGUGUGUCGGGCUGUGAGUUGAAAAGCUACAGCCGGUUGUGUGGGUACACCAACCAUGUGUGAAAAGUGGUCCAUAACAUAAUGCUUCAAAGCGUGUUCGUGCAAACAUUGUCGGGUCUGCCGUGGUACAAUGGGGACUUCUGCUCAUGAACCUCUGUGCACAGCGUCUGCAAAUCGGGGCUGUACAAAGCAACUUCAUCUUUACACAAAACUGUAAGCUGUCAUCUGUGAAGUGUGAGCGGUGUUUGUUUUUACCAUAGUUCAUGGUGGAGAAUGGCUGCUCUUCUGAGUUUUGCCCUAAGCAGCCGUAAGAAUGGCAAACUACACAGAUUAGCAGCGGCAUAGGCACACAUAAAAUUUCUUCAGAAAUUUUCGCUUUCUAGUUUUUUUUUUAUUACUGUUACUGAAGGCUACUCGCUGAGGUGUUAGCUGAGGUUGGUUCAUAGACUGCAGACUGUUAGGCCGUUUCUAAAUACUCAAGUACAUGAGUCCGUUCUCGCGUUCCCGCUAGUCCGGACUUUGUAAGUUCACACAGGAGUCUUGACUUCCCGAGAACGCAGCGUGAUCGUGUAGCUGAUGACAUCACAGCUCUGGAGUCUUUAUUGCACAAUCACUACAUGACAGAAACACAAGCUUCAUCUCUCUUAAUAAACCUAGUACACAUGUAUGCCUGAAUAAAAACAAACAGGUAAGCUGUUAGAACACUUUUCUUUUUCUUUUUAUUUUAGUAAACAGUCAAACUUACAACAGACAGCUGCUGGGGUUUGGAAGAGAACUGAACAAAUGUUUAAAAUAUAAUCUGAUCAUUGUUGGAGCCGCCUUCAGGAUCUCCACGUAUUUAUAGCCUGCUUUUAGACUUGAUAGCAUUAGCAACCUGCUAACUGCAAAUAAUCAUGUGGAACUGAUUAUUUGCAGACAAAAAGAAAACAUAUUACUGAUACAGAAAUAGUUUUCUAUACGAGAUCAUUGCAAAAAGUGCAGCCUUACCUAAUGUCCACCCUACUGUUACUCAUUUUAUAUUAAGAUUUAAAAAUCUAGUUGGUAUUGGUAUGGCGAGUAACCUUCAGUAAUAGUAAUAAAUCAAAAAACGGCAUAGAAAGCGGGACAGACGGAGUGGUGUUCGCGUUCGAAUCAAAGCCCAUUUAAAAGCACUUGGAGUGGUUAAUUGCCGCUCCAUUUCAGAAGCUUCUUGGCUUUCUCAGUAUACCCUCAGACAGUGUCGCUAUCGAUGGAUUCACUAUGCCGGCCAGCUAGCCCC
ensembl:lncRNA